CCGCGGUGCUGCCUCCCUCCCGGCCGCACCUCCUGGCCUGUCGCACUCUGCCCCCGCGGCAGUCCCUUGCUCUACUCCCCCGCCGCGGUCCUCUUCCGACACUUCUGCCGCCGCGCCCCACGCGGCGGCUGGCCAUCUCCACUGCCGAUUACCGCCCCCAAUCCGCCGCUUACCACCAGUCCACCACACAACCCGUCCUGCCUUACCCCGGCUCCCCGGCAGCCUCCUGAUCCACUCCCCUGAUCCUUCCUGCUCCAUCGCGUCCCGGCCUCGUGUUCCACUGCGCCUCCUACUUGCCCCGCUCCCGGCCCACCCCGCGGACGCCUACUCGCACAGUCGCACCACGCUGACGGACUCCAGUGCCCGCCACACUUCAGUUCCGCCGCCAACACAUUGUCGAGGACUGAGGACAAGAAGGGCAUCAUCUGCGACCUGAAGCUGAAAGUAUUGUUUUGACUGAGCAAAAGCACAUCCGAUUCGUGGAGGUCGUGAAGAUUCUUCCAUCUGUGACUGGGGACUUAAGCAAACUUUUCAACUUCUUCAGUUCACUGCAAAUUAACAGUGCCCUCCAUAGAUUGUGCCUAAAGCUCCAAGAAGACUAACACAGCCACUGAUCAUCACACGAAGAAAAAUAUUCAGUUUCAGGUCUCCCCAGGAAAUGGAUGUCUUGCCUUUGCCAAAGCGACCUACCAGGGACUGGUCGGAGCUGCCUUUUGACGCCCUCUAUUCAAUUUUUGAAAAUCUAGGGGUCGUUGAUCUUCUCAUGGGUGCGGGCCUUGUUUGCCACUCAUGGCUGGAGGUGGCCAAGGAGCCUGAUAAUCGUGCACAUGCAGCACCACGGGAUCGUUGGCAUGAACGCGAAUGAUUUGCGGGCAAUGUUGAACGUGUCUAUCGACCGUUCUGACGGGCGGAUGGAGGUGUUCGUGGGAGAGUGGUUUCUUACUAAUAAGCUCCUCAAGUACAUAGCGGACAGGUCGCCCAAUCUGAGGCACCUUGACCUUGUGAAGUGCUAUAGGAUCACGAAAGAAGGAUUGGCCGAGGCGAUGCCAAGGUUUCCUCUGCUGGAGAAGAUCGUGCUUUGGGGUUACCGAAGAAGUGUCACAGGGGAUUUGUAUCAAGUCAUUGGUAAAACAUGCAAUCAACUCGAGUGCCUCGAGCUAUGCCAUGGGAGCAGGGAACAGACGCUUGGGAUUGCGGCACUGCAUGGGCUGCGAGACCUUGCCCUCAUACGCUGCAGCGUGAACGACGAAGGGCUGGCAUUUAUCAUUGAUAGCUGCCCUCUCCUGGAGCGUCUUCACGUGAGGGGUUGCUCCGAGAUCGUGGGCGAGCCAGUCCUGAUGGCCAAGCGUGCCAGGAUCAAGGCAAUGUCGGUUCAAAUCUAUGCCCGCUAUAACUGGGACUAAGUGGUUUGUAUUUCUCCAUUUAAGAUGUACGCUGAGGGGCAACUAAAUUUUGGUGACAGAGUGUAGCGAACCGGAGAGGAGGGGAUCGGAGUAGGUGAGGGAGAGCAAGAGAGAGACUUGGAGAGGAAGAAGGGAGAUUGCUUCCAGAGGAAGGAUUAGGAAGAGUUGACAGUCUGUUACAUCGCAUGCCCUGUCACAGGCG